AACGAACGCUGGCGGCAUGCCUAACACAUGCAAGUCGAACGAAGGCUUCGGCCUUAGUGGCGCACGGGUGCGUAACGCGUGGGAAUCUGCCCUUUGGUUCGGAAUAACAGCUGGACACGGCUGCUAAUACCGGAUGAUGACGAAAGUCCAAAGAUUUAUCGCCAGAGGAUGAGCCCGCGUUGGAUUAGGUAGUUGGUGGGGUAAAGGCCUACCAAGCCGUCGAUCCAUAGCUGGGUUGAGAGGAUGGUCAGCCACACUGGGACGGAGACACGGCCCAGACUCCUACGGGAGGCAGCAGUGGGGAAUAUUGGACAAUGGGGGGAAGCCUGAUCCAGCAAUGCCGCGUGAGUGAUGAAGGCCGGAGGGUUGUAAAGCUCUUUUACCCGGGAAGAUAAUGACGGUACCGAGAGAAUAAGCCCCGGCUAACUCCGUG
rnacentral:rRNA from 1 species